GAUGAACGCUAGCGGCAGGCCUAAUACAUGCAAGUCGAACGGUGUAGCAAUACACAGUGGCGCACGGGUGCGUAACACGUAUGCAACCUACCUUACAUUGGGGGAUAGCCUUUCGAAAGGGAGAUUAAUACCGCAUAAGACAGUAACUAGGCAUCUAGUAGCUGUUAAAGAUUUAUCGAUGUAAGCUGGGCAUGCGUCCAAUUAGUUAGUUGGCGAGGUAAUGGCUCACCAAGACGAUGAUUGGUAGGGGAACUGAGAGGUCAAUCUCCCACACUGGCACUGAGAUACGGGCCAGACUCCUACGGGAGGCAGCAGUAGGGAAUAUUGGGCAAUGGGCGCAAGCCUGACCCAGCCAUGCCGCGUGCAGGAAGAAGGCGUUAUGCGUUGUAAACUGCUUUUAUACAGGAAGAAACGACCCUUGCGAGGGGCAUUGACGGUACUGUAUGAAUAAGCACCGGCUAACUCCGUGCCAGCAGCCGCAGUAA
rnacentral:rRNA from 1 species